GUUUGAUCCCUAUCCAAUGACUACAACUAAAAAACAAUUUGAAUGUAAAUAAACUAUAUAUUUGUGAAAAGGAGGUAUAUGAUUGUCGUUAUCGUCAAGCAUAGUACAUGAUUUAUCAUCUUUAUUUUAAACAAAGUGUCACAGUAGUUUUAGCCAACAUACUGAGUGAUUUGUUUGAGACGCAUGUACUCAUUGUAGCCGUGCUUAGAUAAGCCAACACCUAAUCCAGAGUGCUUCCAUCCAAUCCAUGGAAGCUCGUGUGUAACAACAUGAUAGUUAUUUAAUGAGCACAUACCUGCCUCAAUGUUAUUGCUGAAAAAUUCAAGGGUUUUAGGAUUUGUAGAAAAAACACCGGAACCAAGUCCAUAUUCAGAGUCAUUAGCCAACUCCAAUGCUUCCUCAUUUGUAUGGAAUGUCUUCACAGCUAAGACAGGCCCAAAGAUUUCCUCUCUCCAAAUCUUGUUGUGAGUUUGCACAUUCGUAAAUACGGUGGGUGGAAUAAAAUAACCUUUUUGUUCAGAUCUGGGAAGUCCACCUACUACACAUUUACAUCCUUCAUUUAUAGCUGAUUGAAUGUAGCUAACAAUUUUUUCAAACUGGGUUUUGCUCACUACAGGGCCCAAGGUUACUUGAGGAUCCAAUCCAUUUCCAAUUAUUAGUUUAUUAGCUUCACUCACUAAGCCGCCAAGUACUUCAUCCGCAACACUUUCAUGAACGAUCAAACGAGAAGCCGCAGUACAGGCUUCACCUUGAUUAAAGAAAAUAGCAAAGGCUGCAGAAGGAAUAGCGAGAGAAAGAUCCGCAUCUUCACAAAUUAUUAGAGGUGACUUACCCCCAAGUUCAAGGGUUAACGGGACAAUAUUUUCAGCAGCAGCAUGCAUAAUCUUUUUUCCGGUAGCCAAGGAUCCUGUAAAUGCUAGAUAGGCAAUCUUAGGAUGACAGCUAAGUGCAGCUCCCGACUCUUUACCAGAUCCAAUGAUAACAUUCAAAACACCAUCGGGCAAACCCGCUUCCUUGCAAAUCAGUGCGAAUUCAAGGCAUGACCAUGGGGCUAACUCUGAAGGUUUUAAAACUACGCAAUUACCGCUUGCAAUAGCUGGAACCAGCUUCCAUAAAGCCAUUUUCAGAGGGAAAUUCCAUGGAGUAAUGACACCGAUGACACCUCUAGGAAAACGUUUUUCAAAUGCGCAAAAUCCUGGAUUGUUAGGUAAGGGAACCUUAACUGUAGGGUUGUCGGUUUCUGCCACUUCAGCAUAAUACUCAAACAUGUCUGCGCAGCUAUCUAUAUCGAACAAUGCGUAUGGGGUUGGCUUUCCACAGUUAAUAGUAUCUAUUCCAGCAAGAAGUUCACGCUUUUCUCUCAUCAUUUUAGCUAUCUUUCUCAAAACCAACCCACGUUGUUUGCCAGGCCAUUUGGCCCAUAUUCCAGAACGAAAAGUGUUGUAAGCAUUCUCCACAGCUGAAUCGACAUCUUUGGCAGAAGCAUUUGCACAAGUGCCAAUAAUCUCCUCAGUUGCUGGAUUGAUUAAAGGGAUGGGCUUCGCAGCUGGCUCGAUAGGAGAAACGAAUUUCCCAUCUAUAAACAGACUAUUUUCAGGAGCUCGACGCGCUGAGAUAAUGUCACUUUGUAUAACAUUUAAAUCUAUAGUCAUGAUUAAAAAAUUAUAUAGUGUUUAGACGAAUCAAUAUUUGUCCGAAUGCAAAUUGAUAAAUGAAGAAGAA